AUUGAACGCUGGCGGCAGGCUUAACACAUGCAAGUCGAACGAGUGGCGGACGGGUGAGUAAUUCUUUGGAAUCUAGCUUAUGGAGGGGGAUAACUACGGGAAACUGUAGCUAAUACCGCUUACCAUAGGAUGAGCCCAAGUGGGAUUAGGUAGUUGGUGAGGUAAAGGCUCACCAAGCCGACGAUCUCUAGCUGGUCUGAGAGGAUGACCAGCCACACUGGGACUGAGACACGGCCCAGACUCCUACGGGAGGCAGCAGUGGGGAAUAGUGCGCAAUGGGGGAAAGCUGACGGAGCAAUGCCGCGGGAGUGAAGAAGGUUUUCGGGUCGUAAAGCUCUUUCGGUAGAGAGGCGUUAACUAAAGAAGAAGCACCGGCUAACUACGUGCAAGCAGCCGCGGUAAUUC
rnacentral:rRNA from 1 species